rnacentral:rRNA from 1 species
AUUGAACGCUGGCGGCAGGCCUAACACAUGCAAGUCGAACGAGUGGCGGACGGGUGAGUAAUGUCUGUGAAACUGCCCGAUGGAGGGGGGUAACUACUGGAAACGGUAGCUCAUACCGCAUACCAUCUGAUGUGCCCAGAUGGGAUUAGCUAGGAGGUGGGGUAACGGCUCACCUAGGCGACGAUCCCUCGCUGGUCUGAGAGGAUGACCAGCCACACGGGAACUGAGACACGGUCCAGACUCCUACGGGAGGCAGCAGGGGGGAAUAUUGCACAAUGGGCGCAAGCCUGAUGCAGCCAUGCCGCGUGUAUGAAGAAGGCCUUCGGGUUGUAAAGUACGUUCAGCGAGGAGGCGUUACUCGCAGAAGAAGCACCGGCUAACUCCGUGCCAGCCGCCGCGGUAAUAC